GGGCAGGGCCGAACGGAAACAUUCUUCCAGCCGAAAUGUCCAUUGCAAAGCACCUGUUGGUUUAUAGCGUCGCUGUGCCAGUGCGCACUGAGGACGACAAUGUGUGGUCAUACCAGGUGUGGUAUCAGAACGAAGGCAAUGCAGGGACAGUCCAAGCUAAGCAGGCAUCAGAGGUCAAGACGGAGAAAGAGAACGCACUCCAACUGUAGAGCAGAAAGGCAGAAGUGAUGAGGUAAGUG